rnacentral:rRNA from 1 species
GCUGAGGCCCCAGGGUGGGACCGCGGCCUAUCAGGUAGUAGGUGGGGUAACGGCCCACCUAGCCUACGACGGGUACGGGCCCUGAGAGGGGGAGCCCGGAGAUGGGCACUGAGACAAGGGUCUAGGCCCUAAGGGGCGCAGCAGGCGCGAAGAUUCCGCAAUGCCCGAAAGGGCGACGGAGUGAACCCGAGUGCCACCCGCUGAGGGUGGCUGUUCCCCUGUGUAAAAAGCAGGGGGCAGGAAGGGGAGGGCAAGGCUGGUGGCAGCCGCCGCGGUAAAACCAGCUCCCCGAGGGGUUCCCACGCAUACUGGGCCUAAAGCGUCCGUAGCCGGCCCUGUAAGUCUGCAGUUAAAUCCGCCUGUAGACAGGCGGGUUGCUGCAGAUACUGCAGGGCUAGGGAGCGGGAGGAGCCGGGGGUAUUCCCGGGGGAGCGGUAAAAUGCGUAGAUCCCGGGAGGACCACCAGUGGCAAAGGCGCCCGGCUUGAACGCGUCCGACGGUGAGGGACGAAAGCUGGGGGAGCAAACCGGAUUAGAUACCCGGGUAGUCCCAGCCGCAAACGAUGCCGGCUAGGUGCUGGCCAAGGUUUCGGCCUUGGCCAGUGUCGAAGCGAAGGCAUUAAGCCGGCCGCCUGAGGAGUACGGCCGCAAGGCUGAAACUUGAAGGAAUUGACGGGGGGGCACCACAAGGGGUGAAUGCCUGCGGCUUAAUUGGACUCAACGCCGGGAAUCUUACCGGGGGCGACAGCAGGAUGAAGGUCAGGCUGAAGACCUUACCAGACGCGCUGAGGGGUGGUGCAUGGCCGUCGCCAGCUCGUGCCGUGAGGUGUCCUGUUAAGUCAGGCAACGAGCGAGACCCCCGCCCCUAGUUGCCAGCGGCCUCCUUCGGGAGGGACCGGGCAAACUAGGGGGACCGCCUCCGAAGAGGAGGAGGAAGGUGGGGGCUACGGCAGGUCAGUAUGCCCCUAAUCCCCCGGGCCGCACGCGGGCUGCAAUGGGCGGGACAAGCGGGAGUG